GAUGAACGCUGGCGGCGUGCCUAAUACAUGCAAGUCGAGCGAACGGACGAGAAGCUCGCUUCUCUGAUGUUAGCGGCGGACGGGUGAGUAACACGUGGAUAACCUACCUAUAAGACUGGGAUAACUUCGGGAAACCGGUGCUAAUACCGGAUAAUAUUUUGAACCGCAUGGUUCAAAAGUGAAAGACGGUCUUGCUGUCACUUAUAGAUGAAUCCGCGCUGCAUUAUCUAGUUGGUAAGGUAACGGCUUACCAAGGCAACGUUGCAUAGCCGACCUGAGAGGAUGAUCCGCCACACUGGAACUGAGACACGGUCCAGACUCCUACGGGAGGCAGCAGUAGGGAAUAUUCCGCAAUGGGCGAAAGCCUGAUGGAGCCACGCCGCGUGGGUGAAGAAGGUCUUCGGAUCGUAAAGCUCUGUUAUUAGGAAAGAAAAUAUGUAUAAUAAGCUGUGCACGUCUUGACGGUACCUAAUCAAGAAGCAACGGCUAACUACGUG
rnacentral:rRNA from 1 species